rnacentral:rRNA from 1 species
GAUCAUGGCUCAGGAUGAACGCUAGCUACAGGCUUAACACAUGCAAGUCGAGGGGCAGCAUUUCAGUUUGCUUGCAAACUGGAGAUGGCGACCGGCGCACGGGUGAGUAACACGUAUCCAACCUGCCGAUAACUCGGGGAUAGCCUUUCGAAAGAAAGAUUAAUACCCGAUAGUAUAAUGAAACCGCAUGGUCUUAUUAUUAAAGAAUUUCGGUUAUCGUAUGGGGAUGCGUUCCAUUAGGCAG